GGUUAACGGGGAAUUAGGGUUCAAUUCCGGAGAGGGAGCCUGAGAAACGGCUACCACAUCUAAGGAAGGCAGCAGGCGCGCAAAUUACCCAAUUCUAACAGCAUAAGAGAGGUAGUGACAAGAAAUAACAGUACAAGGCAGUUAAAAUGCUUUGUAAUUGGAAUGAUAGAAAUUUAAAUACUUUUUAAAGUAUCAAUUGGAGGGCAAGUCUGGUGCCAGCAGCCGCGGUAAUUCCAGCUCCAAUAGCGUAUAUUAAAAUUGUUGCAGUUAAAAAGCUCGUAGUUGAAUUUUUGCUAAAAAUAACCGGUCUGCUUUUAUUAAUAAAAGUGGUAUCUUGGUGUGUUUUUAGCAAUAAUGUCCUUUGAAAUGUUUUUUACUUUAUUGUAAGAGGCAAUUUUCAGGAUUUUUACUUUGAGAAAAUUAGAGUGUUUCAAGCAGGCUAACGUUUUGAAUACUGCAGCAUGGAAUAAUAAAAUAGGAUUUUAGUUCUACGUUAUUGGUUUUAAGAACUAAAUUAAUGAUUGAUAGGAGCAGUUGGGGGCAUUUGUAUUUAACUGUCAGAGGUGAAAUUCUU
rnacentral:rRNA from 1 species